rnacentral:rRNA from 1 species
UACGGAGGAUGCGAGCGUUAUCCGGAUUUAUUGGGUUUAAAGGGUGCGUAGGCGGACUGUCAAGUCAGCGGUAAAAUUGAGAGGCCCAACCUCUUCCCGCCGUUGAAACUGGUGGUCUUGAGUGGAUGAGAAGUACGCGGAAUGCGUGGUGUAGCGGUGAAAUGCAUAGAUAUCACGCAGAACUCCGAUUGCGAAGGCAGCAUACCGGCAUCCAACUGACGCUGAGGCACGAAAGCGUGGGGAUCAAACAGG